UACGUAGGGUGCGAGCGUUGUCCGGAAUUAUUGGGCGUAAAGAGCUCGUAGGCGGUGUGUCGCGUCGGUCGUGAAAACUUGGGGCUUAACCCUGAGCUUGCGGUCGAUACGGGCAUCACUGGAGUUCGGCAGGGGAGACUGGAAUUCCUGGUGUAGCGGUGAAAUGCGCAGAUAUCAGGAGGAACACCGAUGGCGAAGGCAGGUCUCUGGGCAUUAACUGACGCUGAGGAGCGAAAGCAUGGGGAGCGAACAGG
rnacentral:rRNA from 1 species